rnacentral:tRNA from 1 species
GCUGUGGCUCAGUGGUAGAGUACUUGCCUAGUGUGUGUGAGGCUCUGGGUUUGAUUCUCAGCACCGCA